GCUGAGGUGGGAGGAUCACUUGAGCCUGGGAGGCUGAGCAGUGAGCUGAGCUGGUGCUACUGCACUCCAGAGCCAGACUCUGUCUCAAAAAAAAAAAAAAGUACAAUUUUAAAUAAACCACUAGGAAUAAAAAUGAACAUUUGUAAACAUCCACUGUGCAUCAGGCAUCCUGCUAAGAACUUCAUAUCCAUUAUCUCUUUAUUCCUUUAUAAUCUAGCUAAGUAGUUGUGCUGUUCCAACUUUACAGAUGAGAAAACUAAGAGUCAGAGAGGUUAAGUAGCUUAUCUGAGGUUACCCAGCUACAAAGGAAUGAGACACAACCUUUAAACAACACCUUUGUGUAUUGUGUACAGACUAAAAUCCAAACAUGUUAGCAAAGCAUCUGAGGCCCAGUGCAAUGCCCCAAGCUACCUGUCCGCCUUCAUUUCCCACUCUACACUUCAGGUCCUCUUCUUUUUUUUUUUUUUUUUUUUUGAGACAGUCUCGCUCUGUUGCCCAGGCUGGAGUGCAGUGGCAUGGUCUCGGAUCACUGCAACCUCUGCCUCCCGGGUUCAAGAGAUUCUCCUGCCUCAGUCUCCCGAGUAGCUGGGACUACAGGUGCAUACCACUGUUCCCCACUUGUUUUGAAAAUUAUUACAAAAAAAUUAAUAAACACGCCAAAGUUCUGUUAACAGAGAAAUAAGUUAAAUGAACAAAAAGAGCCUCAACUAGUCUUCUGCUGUCCACCCUAUAAAACGUGUAAGUUCUUGUCCCGAUUUCAACACUACAACUUCUUCAACCUUAUUUACCACUAUUCCCCAACAGCACCCUCCAGUUCAAUCAAGAGAAUACAUCAGGCUUGCAUAUCAUGCCUAUUUCCAGAAUUUAUAUCACCUGAAAUGUCUACUCUCUAUGUAUGCAAAUCUUAUUCCUUCUUCAAAUCUCACCGCCUCUAGAAAGCAUCUGAAGAGUCAGUUACAGAGAUUAUUCCAUUUCAAUAUCCCUUAUUUUUGUAAAUAUGACAAGGAAACUUCUCAGUAGAGGCAGAAGGAGACAAGUUUAGAACAAGCCCUGAUUUGCCGGGGAAGGGUCAGAGGGACAGAAUGGAGAAAGCAUUUAAUUCUGCACCAGGUAAGGCAGGAGACCCGGAAAACUUCAAAGAGGUAGAUUUGAUUAGAAGUCAUGGGAAUAACAGGAGAACAUUAUACAAAAGUGAAAAACCUGAGCACAGAAGCAGAGCGCUGUGAAAAUACAUGGUGCUUUGAGGGACGAGUGAGUCAGAGAUAUCAAAUGCAAGUUGACUGGAAAGGGGAAUCGGGAGCAGAUUGCAAAAAGCCUUGAAUGGCAGAUAGCCUGAAUCCCUUAGAUCAGGGUGGAGGUGGCAGGGAGUCACUGAAGUCUUUAAACUGGAGCUAUGCAUUGAUGUUCAUUUUUGAAAUAUCAGUUGGCUUUCAAGACAGAGAGUCAACUGAAAAGAGAAAGGACAGACACCCAGUUAACACAAGGCAGAUAUUUCAAAAUGUUCACUGGCUGGGCACGGUGGCUCACACCUGUAAUCCCAGCACUUUGGGAAGCCAUUGUGGGAGGAUCACUUGAGAACAUCCUGGGCAAUAUAGCAAAAACCUGUCUUUACAGAAAUUAUUAUUAUUAUUGUUUUAUUUUUUUGUGUGAGACAGAGUGCAGACUGGAGUGCAGUGGCACGAUCUCUCAGCCUCCUGGGUUCAAGCGAUUAUCGUGCCUCAGCCUUCCAAGCAGCUGAGAUUACAGGCCUGUGCCACCAUGCCCGGCUAAUUUUUGUAUUUUUAAUAGAGACGGGGUUUUGCCAUGUUGGCUAGGCUGGUCUCAGGCGAUCCACCCGCCUCAGCCUCCCAAAGUGCUGGGAUUACAGACGUGAGCCACCGUGCUCGGCCUACUCUACAAAAAAAUUUUCAAAUUAGCUGAGGAUGGUGGUGUGCGCCUGUAGUCCCAGCUACUCAGGAGGCUGAGGCAGGAGGAUUGCUUUGAGCUUCGGGGUUGGGGCUGUAGUAAGCACCACUGCACUCCAGCCUGGAAAACAGAGCAAGGGCUUGGCUUAA
rnacentral:lncRNA from 1 species